ensembl:antisense Gm10435 predicted gene 10435
GAUCUGGGGAGUGGCCAGCAGUGUACUUGGUCUCCACUGAGGGGUGAGCUCGGAAGAGGUGAUGGGGCAGGGUCUGCUUACCUGAGGUAGGAGAUGACGCCCAUGGCCCUGCAAGAAUGAAAACACCCCAUUUGUGAGUUACACCAGGCCUGUCCCACAGGCAAGGGGUAUGCACGGGGGGUGGGGUUGGGGGGUGGGGGUGGCUGGAAGAGGAGGCAGAGGCUCCUCAGCUGCCAGACAGACACACGAAGGACAGGGAGGCUCCAGAUCAACAGCCCUCUAGGUGGGCCAUCCACUCACCAGAUGUCUGAGCCCUCGCUCACAGGAUUCUGCUCAAUGAUCUCUGGGGACACGAAUUCGGGUGAGCCAUACUUGCUGUACUGUGGCUCUGAAGGGGUGAUCUUUUGGGCAAAGCCAAAGUCACAGAUCUUGAUGUCUUCCCGAGCUGGGUGCACCAUCAGGAUGUUGGGGGGCUGUCAAACAGAGUUGAGAAGUUGUUCAAGGCUACACUUCAUGAAAAAGGUAACUCCUACCCUCUGGGCCUAGGAGAGCACUGAAGAGUCCUUGAGGCUAGUAAAGGGCAGUGGGGAGUCCCCAGGACCGAGAGGGGAAUCACAUCUACUCCAUGAGAGCCAAACCCUACCCGAGGUAGUAGAAACCAAGCACAGGCUGGCUCCCAGCUGUGCCCACCACGAGUUCUGGGGGUGCCGUGAAUGCAAUACCUUUAUGUCCAGGUGGAGGAUACCAUGGCUGUGCAAAUAGUGUAGGCCUUCCACCAGCUGCUGGAUAUAGACUUUGACCUGUGGAAAAUGCCAGGAUCAGUUUGGAACCAGCCCCCAAGAGGCUGGCUCAGGAACCUCCUGAAGGCUGACCCAGGUGAGGAGCCAGCCUCAGGUACCUCCUGAAGACCUGGUCCAAAUGAGGGGCCAGCCUCAGAAAACUCAUGAAGGCCUGACCCAGGUGAGGGGCAAGCAUCAGGUACCUCCUGAAGGCCUGACCCGGGUUGGGGGCCAGCCUCAGGUACCUCCUGAAGGCCUGACCCAGGUGAGGGGCAAGCAUCAGGUACCUCCUGAAGGCCUGACCCGGGUUGGGGGCCAGCCUCAGGUACCUCCUGAAGGCCUGACCCAGGUGAGGGGCCAGCCUCAGGUACCUCCUGAAGGCCUGGCCCAGGUGAGGAGCCAGCCUCAGGUACCUUCUGAAGGCCUGACCCGGGUAAGGGGCCAGCCUCAGGUACCUCCUGAAGGCCUAGUCCAAAUGAGGGUCCAGCCUCAGGAACCUCCUGAAACCUAGUCCAAAUGAGGGUCCAGCCUCAGGAACCUCCUGAAGGCCUGACCCAGGUGAGGGGCCAGCCUCAGGAACCUCCUGAAGGCCUGGCCCAGAUGAGGGACCAGCAUCAGGUACCUCCUGAAGACCUGACCCAGGUGAGGGGCCAGCCUCAGGUACCUCCUGAAGGCCUAGUCCAAAUGAGGGUCCAGCCUCAGGAACCUCCUGAAGGCCUGACCCAGGUGAGGGGCCAGCCUCAGGUACCUCCUGAAGGCCUGGCCCAGGUGAGGGGCCAGCCUCAGGUACCUCCUGAAAGCCUGACCCGGGUGAGGGACUAGCCUCAGGUACCUCCUGAAGACCUGGCCCAGGUGAGGGGCCAGCCUCAGCCUCCUCUAUUCCAUAGGAGCUUGCUUCGAUCAUCAAGCCUUCCUCCUCUUAAUUCAGGCCCCAUAGAUCAAGUGACUGACAAAGUCACAGGUCAGGAACUGCAAGCCCCAGGGCUGGGUGUUUCCCAAAGGUGGGCUGAGCCUAAAUAGGCAGGAAGCAUCAGUCUGCUUAAAUGAGGGAGGGGCAGAUAUCACUAGUACAGCUGUUCCCCUAUGGUCAGGACGGGUGGCAGAGGCUGGUUAUACCUGGCUACCUUGGAAGCUACAAGAGACUCAAGUCAAAAGAGGCUGUGUCCAGGGACUGGAAUGUAGGCUCUGACUCUAGGGACACACUCAGGCAAGGAGAAGGUAGAGAUUACCUCGGCUUCAGUCACUACACCCUUCUUGAAGAGCCGAUCCAGCAGCUCCUCAGACGAGCACCUGGGUUUCGUUAAGGAAAAGCUGCACAUGACUCCCCGGGGCCUGUGCUCCCAGAAAGGUACCCAGACCUCCUGUGAGCCAGAUCUAGAGGUGCUGGUAUUCUGAUGAAGGAGAGUGGAAUGAUGACCCUUGGGUCCCAGAUGGGUCACAUCCCUGAGAAAGGGACCUUCAGAAAGACCCUCUGGUGAGUGGGGCUGUGAGCAGCAGCCUAAUGGAACUUGGACACUCUUGCAUCUCUGCACAGAGCCCACUCCACGCAGCCCUUCACCGGGAUCCUAGGACAGUUUCAGGAGUGAAAGGGCAGCCAGAAUGUGAAAUAAGUAAGAGCCCCAAACACGCCCCCAUGGGUGUGACGGAGGCCAAGAGCAGUUGGAAUGGGAGCCCCCUCUCCAAUACCUAAGAGGUCACCUCUGAGAGGGGUCCCAGGCUGUGACCCACAUCUGUGACCCACAUCUGUGACCC